rnacentral:rRNA from 1 species
GAUGAACGCUGGCGGCGUGCUUAAUACAUGCAAGUCGAGCGAACAGACGAGGAGUUUGCUCCUCUGACGUUAGCGGCGGGCGGGUGAGUAACACGUGGAUAACCUACCUAUAAGACUGGGAUACCUUCGGGAAACCGGAGCUAAUACCGGAUGAUCUAUUGAACCGUCUUGAUCAAUUGUGAAAGACGUUUUUGCUGUCUCUUAUAGCUGGAUCUGCGCCGCAUUAGCUAGUUGGUAAGGUCAUGGGUUACCACGGCAACUAAGCGUAGCCGACUGGCGAGGGGGGUAGCCCACACGGGAGCGGGAACGCGGUCCAUGGGCCUGAGGGAGGCCGCAGUAGGGAACCUGCGGCAAUGGGCGAAAGCCUGACGGAGCAACGCCGCGUGAGAGAUAAAAGUGUUCGGAUCGGAAAACUCUCUUAUGAGUGAAGAACAAAUGUGUAAGUAACUAUGCACGUCUUGACGGUACCUGAACAGAAAGCCACGGCUAACUACGUG